AUGAACUUAUGUUUGUUAGCUUUUUGGAUAAGUAGGUAUUAUAACUCCGAGGACAAAAUUUGGAAGAACAUCAUAGACUCUAAGUAUGACCUUCGGAGUAAUAACAUUUUUGCUUGCUCUGCUGCUGGAGCUUCUCCUUUCUGGAAAGGAGUUCUCUGGGCAGCUCAAGCUGCUAAGGUUGGUUUUUCUUGGCAUAUAGGGAAUGGCAAGAGAGCUAGAUUCUGGAAGGAUCAUUGGUUUGGCAAUGCUAUCCUAGCCACCCAAUAUUGGGAUUUAUAUAACAUAGCCAAUGAGCAUAAUGUUACUAUUGACAGAGUUUGGGAUGGUUGUAAUCUUAAGAUGGGAUCUCCCCGACUCAAAGGUUAUCAAUCUACGCGGAUGACGUUGCGUUGUUCAUCAAGCCAACGGAGAUGGAUUUGA
rnacentral:rRNA from 1 species